GAUGAAGAACGUAGCGAAAUGCGAUACGUAAUGUGAAUUGCAGAAUUCAGUGAAUCAUCGAAUCUUUGAACGCAUAUUGCGCUCUCUGGUAUUCCGGAGAGCAUGCUUGUUUGAGUAUCAGUAAACACCUCAACUUCCAUAUCUUUUUUGAAAUGGGAGUUGGACUUGAGUGAUCCCAACGCUUUUCCUCACCGAAAAGUGGCGGGUUACUUGAAAUGCAGGUGCAGCUGGACUUUUCUCUGAGCUAUAAGCAUAUCUAUUUAGUCUGCCUAAAAAACAGAUUAUUACCUUUGCUGCAGCUAACAUAAAGGAGAUUAGUUCUUGUGCUGACUGAUGCAGGAUUCACAAAGACAGGCUUCGGCCGACUUUGUAAACUCGAUCUCAAAUCAAGUAAGACUACCCGCUGAACUUAAGAAUAUCAAUAAGCGGAGGA
rnacentral:misc_RNA from 1 species